rnacentral:rRNA from 1 species
CCAGACUCCUACGGGAGGCAGCAGUGGGGAAUAUUGGGCAAUGGGCGCAAGCCUGACCCAGCAACGCCGCGUGAAGGAAGAAGGCUUUCGGGUUGUAAACUUCUUUUAUUCGGGACGAAGCAAGUGACGGUACCGAAUGAAUAAGCCACGGCUAACUACGUGCCAGCAGCCGCGGUAAUACGUAGGUGGCGAGCGUUAUCCGGAUUUACUGGGUGUAAAGGGAGCGUAGGCGGCAGUGCAAGUCAGAAGUGAAAGCCCAAGGCUCAACCAUGGGACUGCUUUUGAAACUGUACAGCUAGGUUGCAGGAGAGGUAAGUGGAAUUCCUAGUGUAGCGGUGAAAUGCGUAGAUAUUAGGAGGAACACCAGUGGCGAAGGCGGCUUACUGGACUGUAAAUGACGCUGAGGCUCGAAAGCGUGGGGAGCAAACAGGAUUAGAUACCCCCGUA